CUGAGUGAGGGCCCUUCGGGCUCGACCUCCAACCCUUUGUGAACACCAACUUGUUGCUUCGGGGGCGACCCUGCCGUUUCGACGGCGAGCGCCCCCGGAGACCAUCAAACACUGCAUCUUUGCCGUCGGAGUUUAAGUAAAUUAAACA
rnacentral:misc_RNA from 1 species